UACGAAGGGAGCUAGCGUUGUUCGGAAUCACUGGGCGUAAAGCGCACGUAGGCGGAUGUGUCAGUCAGGGGUGAAAUCCCGGAGCUCAACUUCGGAACUGCCCUUGAUACAGCACGUCUUGAGUCCGGAAGAGGUGGGUGGAAUUCCUAGUGUAGAGGUGAAAUUCGUAGAUAUUAGGAAGAACACCGGUGACGAAGGCGGCCCACUGGUCCGGUACUGACGCUGAGGUGCGAAAGCGUGGGGAGCAAAAGGG
rnacentral:rRNA from 1 species